UGAUGGUGGUGUGGGCAAUCAUGGAGAAUGAACAUGAAACUUUCCCAAGAUUGAUAUAGAUUUUCACCAUAUUUCUACCUAAAACUUAAUUUUCACUUCUCAAUCA
rfam:Capsicum annuum cultivar Zunla-1 chromosome 9, whole genome shotgun sequence